CUCUCUCUCUCUCUCUCUCUCUCUCUCUCUCUCUCUCUCUCUCUCUCUCUCUCUCUCUCUCUCUCUCUCUCUCAAUUAAUCCCCCCUUCCCCUCCCGCCCCUCCUCCUCGAGCAACACCGUCCAAGCCUCGCUCCUCGAUUUGCUUCGGUCUUCUCUUCUUCUUCUGUUGUUGCUCGCCUGCUCCCCCAAGGCUCCACCUUCUCUUCCUACUACUCCCCCUUCGAUCUUUGCUGCUGCUGGCCUGCUGCUACUCCUCCUCCUUCGCUCUUCUUCUUCUUCUUCGAUCUGCUGGUGAUCCUCCUCCUCCGAUCCAUUUCCUCUCACCCGCCCCUUCCGUCUCCCCACCCUUUCUUACCUAAUCGGUCAAUUCUCAAAAAUCGUGAAGGAAGACUACGAGAUUGAGAGGGUACGGCUUCACCAAGCUCAACAAUCACAGUAGACGGCAAAAAGCACAUCAUGCCGGACUUGGAAGAGGGGAUUAAUUGUCUCUCAGAUCAUGCCAAACCACCCUAUUUUCCAUGAUUUUUUUCAGGGGAUUAAUUGUCUCUCAGAUCAGUUUAAUCUUACCAGUCCUUCCAGCAAAAACAUAAGUUGUACGUAUAGUAGGAAAAGGUGGGAGAAAUAUUGGAUCUUGGCUUCGUUCUUUCGCAA